CGUGUAGGCGGCUUGUUAAGUCGGGUGUGAAAGCCCUCAGCUCAACUGAGGAAGGGCGCCCGAAACUGGCGAGCUUGAGUGUCGGAGAGGAUGGCGGAAUACCCCAAGUAGAGGUGAAAUUCGUAGAUAUGGGGUGGAACACCGGUGGCGAAGGCGGCCAUCUGGACGACAACUGACGCUGAGACGCGAAAGCGUGGGUAGCAAACAG
rnacentral:rRNA from 1 species